rnacentral:rRNA from 1 species
UCCUACGGGAGGCAGCAGUGGGGAAUCUUGCACAAUGGAGGAAACUCUGAUGCAGCGAUGCCGCGUGAGUGAAGAAGGCCCUUGGGUUGUAAAGCUCUUUCGUCGGGGAAGAAAAUGACUGUACCCGAAUAAGAAGGUCCGGCUAACUUCGUGCCAGCAGCCGCGGUAAUACGAAGGGACCUAGCGUAGUUCGGAAUUACUGGGCUUAAAGAGUUCGUAGGUGGUUGAAAAAGUUGGUGGUGAAAUCCCAGAGCUUAACUCUGGAACUGCCAUCAAAACUUUUCAGCUAGAGUAUGAUAGAGGAAAGCAGAAUUUCUAGUGUAGAGGUGAAAUUCGUAGAUAUUAGAAAGAAUACCAAUUGCGAAGGCAGCUUUCUGGAUCAUUACUGACACUGAGGAACGAAAGCAUGGGUAGCGAAGAGGAUUAGAUACCCUCGUAGUCCAUGCCGUAAACGAUGUGUGUUAGACGUUGGAAAUUUAUUUUCAGUGUCGCAGCGAAAGCGAUAAACACACCGCCUGGGGAGUACGACCGCAAGGUUAAAACUCAAAUGAAUUGACGGA